UACGUAGGGUGCAAGCGUUGUCCGGAAUUAUUGGGCGUAAAGAGCUCGUAGGCGGCUUGUUGCGUCGACCGUGAAAACCCGGGGCUCAACUUCGGGCUUGCGGUCGAUACGGGCGGGCUAGAGUUCGGUAGGGGAGACUGGAAUUCCUGGUGUAGCGGUGAAAUGCGCAGAUAUCAGGAGGAACACCGGUGGCGAAGGCGGGUCUCUGGGCCGAUACUGACGCCGAGGAGCGAAAGCGUGGGGAGCGAACAGG
rnacentral:rRNA from 1 species